rnacentral:rRNA from 1 species
AACGAACGCUGGCGGCAUGCCUAACACAUGCAAGUCGAGCGCCCGUAGCAAUACGGGAGCGGCGCACGGGCGAGUAACGCGUGGGAACCUGCCCAGAGGUUCGGGACAACCGCGGGAAACUGCGGCUGAUACCGGAUGAUACCUGAGGGUCAAAGAUUUAUCGCCUUUGGAGGGGCCCGAGUCAGAUUAGGUAGUUGGUGAGGUAACGGCUCACCAAGCCUGUGAUCUGUAACUGGUCUGAGAGGAUGACCAGUCACACUGGGACUGAGACACGGCCCAGACUCUUACGGGUGGCAGCAGUGGGGAGUAUUGGACAAUGGGGGCAACCCUGAUCCAGCAAUGCCGCGUGGGUGAUGAAGGCCUUCGGGUUGUAAAGCCCUUUCGGCGGGGACGAUGAUGACGGUACCCGCAGAAGAAGCCCCGGCUAACUUCGUGGCAGCCGCCGCCGUAA